rnacentral:piRNA from 1 species
UGUAACAGAUGCCCUCAUGUUGUGCU